rnacentral:rRNA from 1 species
GACGUAGGGGGCGAGCGUUGUCCGGAUUCAUUGGGCGUAAAGCGCGCGUAGGCGGCCCGUUUAGUCGGAUGUGAAAAUCCGGGGCUCAACCCCGGACCUGCAUCCGAUACUGGCGGGCUCGAGGCAGGCAGGGGAGAUCGGAAUUCCUGGUGUAGCGGUGAAAUGCGCAGAUAUCAGGAGGAACACCGGUGGCGAAGGCGGAUCUCUGGGCCUGUCCUGACGCUCGAGGCGACGAAAGCUAGGGGAGCAAACAGG